GGGGAAGGCGCUCUUCUUGAGUGCUAUGACACGACUCUCGGGGAAAAUGCUGACUUCCCCGAGUGCCGUGGGCUUGGCACUCGGGGAAGAGUCUCUUCCCCAAGAGCCAGGGAAGGCACUCGGAGAAUAAUUUUUUUUAGUUUAUUUUGCUCUAUUUUUUCCUGAGGCCUUCCCACAUUAUUUAAAACUUCUUAUUCAAGUUUGGGAAAAUUUAAACUUUUUUAGUAUAUUUUAUUAGUUUUUUUCGUUUCAUUGAUUUUUUUUUGUAAACUUCAAAUUUGAAUUGCCGGUGCAUUAAAUAAUGGAAUUUCUUUAUUCAAAAAAUGAUAUUCAUGAUAUUUGGUAUAUGUUAAGACCAUAUCCACAAGCUCAAAUGAAUUGUCUGCGGAAAAAGUGUUUUUAAAAUAUAUAAAAUCUAUAAGAAGUCCAAAAAUCAAGAAACCUGUCUGGGCGUCAUGUUAUUGCAUGUAGAGGCUAUGAUAAAAAAUUGAGAAGGUUUCGAACAAGUUGUGACGUCAGAUAUCUGAAACCCAGACAUCUCUACUUUGAUCACUUAUGAUCAUAUGCGGAGAGGUGCGGGUUUUAGGCAUCUGACCUCGUAACUUGCUUGAAACCUUCUCAGGAUGCCUCAACAAGUUUCGUGAUUUUUGAACUUUGUUCGUAUUUUAUAUAAUUGAAAAACACUUUUACUAUAAGUUGUUCAUCAUGUUACCGAAACAAGAUGCCCGACAUUUCAUUUGAGUUUCUAGAAACGACCUUAAUAUACAUCAAAUAUCAUAAAUAUUAUUUUUUGAAUCAAAAAAUUAUAUAUUUCAUGCACUUACAGUUCAAAUUUGAUGUAUGAAAAAAAAUUCAGCGAAACGAAAAAAUUAACAAAAUAUAAAAAAAGUCAAAAUUGUCCCAAAUUUGAACAAGGAGUUUCAAAUAAUGUGGAAAAGGCCUCACCAAAAAAUGGCGCAAAAAACAAAAAAAAUUAAUUUUCCCCGAGUGCCUUUAGUGACACUCAGGAAAUAGACUCUUCCCCGAGUGCCACAACAUGACACUCGGAGAAGAAAUUUUAAAAAAAACCCAGCCCGACCCAAAUAAGCCACCCACCAACACCCCCAACCCUAUCUCUCCCUUCCCUCUCUCAGCCGCGCUGCCGCCGCGCUCGCCCCGCGCCCGCCGCCAGCCCUGCAACAAUACAUCCAAGUAGCCCUGUUCUCUAUCUUUACAUAAAUAAAAAAAAUAAAUUGAUUAAUUGAGAAUAAUUAUUAGCAACAAUCAUUAGCUAUUAUUAUUAGCAACAAUUAAUAAGUAACAAUUAUUAUCUACUAUUAUUAGCAACAAUUAUUAGCUAUCAUUAUUAGCAAUAAUUGUGUUAGAAACGAUUAUUAGACAUAAUUAAUAGUACCAAUUAUUAUCUACUAUUAUUAGAAACAAUUAAUAUUAGCAACAACUAUUACUUUACCAAUAACUAUUCAUGCCAACCACAUUCCAAUUUUAUGAAACAAAAACAAAAAAGGAAACCCUAGAUGUAGAAUGCCUUUUCUCUCCAUACAUGAAACUACAAUUAAUCUCCAUUAAAAUCAAGCUAUAUCACCUAAUUGAUGGUGCAAGGUGAUGUCUCUACCUAUUCUACACUAAUAGCAUCAAAGAUAAGCUCUAAUUUGGUCAACACAAAGCUCAAGCUCC
rnacentral:lncRNA from 1 species